GUCUGGGCGGUGACGUUUGGUCUGAGCUGACCUUUCCUCACAAUCGUGAAUUUGGGCUGUGAGGAUCAGGCCUUGUCAGAACCCGAGAUGAGAGGAGAGAGGUGGGUCCUGAAUACCAUCCCAAGUGUCCUUAUAAGAGAGAGGCAAAAGAGGCAAUAGAGACACAGAAAAGAAAGCCAUGUGAAGAUGGAGCAGAGAGAUAUAUGGCCACAAGCCAAGGAAUGCUGACAGCUGCCAGAAGCUGGAAGAAGGCAAGGAAUGGACUCUCCCCUACAGCCUCCAGAGGCAAUGCAGCCCUGCCAACACUUUGAUUUUAGACUUCUGGCCUAUAGAACUGAGAAAGAAUAAAUUUCUGUUCUUUUCAGCUACUAAGUUUGUGAUCACUUGGUGCAGCAUUUACAGGAAACAAAUACACCUCUCCUUCUAGAACUCCAAUUAUGUGAACAUUAGACCAUCUAAUAUUGCCCCACAUGUUCCUGAGGCUCUCUGUUCAUUUUCUUUUUAAUCUAUUUUUCUCUGUUCUUCAGAUUGGACAAUUGCUCUCUUUUUUGUUUGUUUGUUUUUUUGAGAUGGAGUUUCGCUCUUGUCGCCCAGGUUGGAGUGCAACGGCGCAAUCUUGGCUCAUUGCAACCUCCGCCUCCCGGGUUCAAGUGAUUCUCCUGCCUCAGCCUCCUGAGUAGCUGGUAUUACAGGCACCCACCACCAUGCCCAGCUAAUUUUUGUAUUUUUAGUAGAGACAGGGUUUCUUUUUUUUUUUUUUUUGGCAGUUUUUACUUUUAUUUAAACAGAAAACAUGCACACGAGCUGUCUACUCAUUUUCUUUGCUGCGCAGCCUGGCAUUGGGGUUGGUGACUUUGAUGGCCAGUUGGGCAGCUCUUUCCACGAUGGCUUUGCGGUUCUUGGAGGAAACAUGGUGAGUGAUCUCGGCACAGUAAGAUUUGUUGCACAUCAGCAGCACUUCCAGCUCCUUGACGUUGUGGACCAGGAACUUCCGGAAGCCACUGGGCAACAUGUGCUUUGUUUUUAUUUUUAUAUUUUUGCAACGGAGUCUUACUUUGUG
rnacentral:lncRNA from 1 species